UACGGAGGAUCCGAGCGUUAUCCGGAAUUAUUGGGUUUAAAGGGUGCGUAGGCGGCUUUUUAAGUCAGCGGUGAAAUUUUGCAGCUUAACUGUAACAGUGCCGUUGAUACUGGGGAGCUAGGAUUUGGUUGCUGUUGGUGGAAUGUGUGGUGUAGCGGUGAAAUGCUUAGAGAUCACACAGAAUAUCGAUUGCGAAGGCAGCUCACAAAGCCAAGAUUGACGCUGAGGCACGAAAGCGUGGGGAUCAAACAGGAUUAGA
rnacentral:rRNA from 1 species